GGUGUAUGUGGCCUGUAGCUACUGGAAUGUUUUGAAUUUAUUAGCGAUCUAUGGGACGGAGGACAAUUCUAAACAUUCCAGUCCCUAUAGACCAGUGACCACAUACAAACGAAGGAAUCUCAUAAAUACUUUUAGAUCAGUCACUAUUUACAUACUACAAUGAUUCCUCUCAAUAUCCCAGAUGAAACAGAGGAAUCACUUCCUCUCAAUUGAGGAAUUGAGAGGAAUUCCUCAAUUGUUAAACACAGAAACGUGUUUCUGUCCUGUGUG